rnacentral:pre_miRNA from 17 species
CGAGUAGCCGGCCCCGCCAUCCCAGUGUUCAGACUAGUGUUCAGGAGGCUCUGAAUGUGUACAGUAGUCUGCACAUUGGUUAGGCUGGGCUUGAACAAACG